rnacentral:rRNA from 1 species
CACCAACUUCAGUUGGUUUUUAUAGCCGUGGCAAAGAAAAAUGAACCAUGUUUGUAAUUCUUUGACUAUGUUUCUUACUUGCUCAAUAAUGUUGGAGUUUCUUGUAAGCGUCAUGACAUGCUUCGAGAUGUUAGAGCUCAUAAGGUUUUGGAAGCACUUGAAAUGAGUGAGAUUGAAAGUGGAAGUGGGCUAAAUCAAGAGACGGGACCAGCUAGACUCGGCGAUACUCGUUGGGGUGCUCAUUUUAAAACCAUUACGCACAUUGUUAGCAUGUAUUCCACAAUCCUUGAAGUACUUGAUGCUAUUGGAAAAGAUCCUUCACAAAAAGGUGAGUGGACAAGAAUACGUGGAGUUGCUCAAGCCUUUUAAUCAUUUGACUUUGUUUUCAAUCUUCACUUGAUGCUUGUUACUCUUGGCUAUACAAAUGAGUUGUCCCAAUCUUUGCAAAAGAGAGAUCAAGAUAUUGUUAGUGCAAUGAGACUUGUUAGUUUGGCAAAGAGUAGAAUGCAACACAUGAGGUCUCAUGGUUGGGAAGAAUUUCUUGCAAAGCUAACCUUAUUUUGCAACAAACAUGACAUUCAAGUUCCUUUGUAGGAGGAUACUUAUGAGCCUCAUGGAAGAUCACGUCGGUAUUAUGAAUUACAAACAAAUGAUGAUCGUUAUAGAAAAGAAGUAUAUCUUGGUGUUAUUGAUCAAACCAUUCAAGAGCUUGACAACCGGUUUGAUGAGGUUAAUACUGGGUUGCUUAUUUGCAUGUUGGCUCUGAAUCCCCUCAAUUCAUUUGCUUCUUAUGAUGCACUCAAGGUAAUGAGAUUUGCUGGAUUCUAUCCCAUGGACAUAUGA